GGGAGUGUAGCAAAGCGGCUAAUGCAGCGGCCUGUCGCGUCGCCUAUCAAGGGUUCGAGUCCCUUCACUCCCG
rnacentral:tRNA from 1 species